AUUGAACGCUGGCGGCAGGCCUAACACAUGCAAGUCGAGCGGAGCGGCGGACGGGUGAGUAAUGCCUAGGAAUCUGCCUUGUCGUGGGGGAUAACGUCCGGAUACGGGCGCUAAUAUCGCAUACUAUCAGAUGAGCCUAGGUCGGAUGAGGUAGUUGGUGGGUAAAGGCCUUCCAGGGCGACGAUCCGAAACUGGUCUGAGAGGAUGAUCAGUCACACUGGAACGUGGACAGGGUCCCGGCUCCUACGGGAGGGAGCAGUGGGGAAUAUUAGACAAUGGGCGAAAGCCUUAUCCAGCCAGGCCGCGUGUGUGAAGAAGGUCUUCGGAGUGUAAAGCACGUUAAGUUGGGAGGCGGUACCAACAGAAUAAGCACCGGCUAACUACGUGCCAGCAGCCGCGGUAAUAC
rnacentral:rRNA from 1 species